UUGGAGGGCAAGUCUGGUGCCAGCAGCCGCGGUAAUUCCAGCUCCAAUAGCGUAUAUUAAAGUUGUUGCAGUUAAAAAGCUCGUAGUUGAAUUUCGGGGUUAGUAGGUUGGUCAUGCCACUGGUAUGUACUGGUCUCACUGAUUCCUCCUUCCUGAUGAGCCGUAAUGCCAUUAAUUUGGUGUUGCGAGGAAUCUGGACUGUUACUUUGAAAAAAUUAGAGUGUUUAAAGCAAGCUAACGCUUGAAUACAUUAGCAUGGAAUAAUGAAAUAGGACGUUCGAUCCUAUUUUGUUGGUUUCUAGGAUUGACGUAAUGAUUAAUAGGGAUAGUUGGGGGCAUUAGUAUUCAAUUGUCAGAGGUGAAAUUCUUGGAUUUAUUGAAGACUAACUACUGCGAAAGCAUAUGCCAAGGAUGUUUUCAUUAAUCAAGAACGAAAGUUAGGGGAUCGAAGACGAUCAGAUACCGUCGUAGUCUUAACCAUAAACUAUGCCGACUAGGGAUCGGAUGAUGUUAUUUCUAAUGACUCAUUCGGCGCCUUACGGGAAACCAAAGUGUUUGGGUUC
rnacentral:rRNA from 1 species